rnacentral:lncRNA from 1 species
GUAUGUUUCUCAGAUAAACAUCAUGUAGUUUCCUUAUGUGUGAUUUCAGCUUUGAUAGCUAGUAAGCUACUCAAAAAGAGGUGUGAAGCCUAUCUAGCAUGUGUGGUUAAUACAAAAGUAAGCAAGUAGGAUUUAGCAGACAUCCCAGUGGUUUGUAAAUUUUCAGAUAUCUUUUUAGGAGAACUCCCAGGGCUACCACC